rnacentral:rRNA from 1 species
AUUGAACGCUGGCGGCAGGCUUAACACAUGCAAGUCGAGCGGGGUGAUGGUGCUUGCACUAUCACUUAGCGGCGGACGGGUGAGUAAUGCUUAGGAAUCUGCCUAUUAGUGGGGGACAACAUCUCGAAAGGGAUGCUAAUACCGCAUACGUCCUACGGGAGAAAGCAGGGGAUCACUUGUGACCUUGCGCUAAUAGAUGAGCCUAAGUCGGAUUAGCUAGUUGGUGGGGUAAAGGCCUACCAAGGCGACGAUCUGUAGCGGGUCUGAGAGGAUGAUCCGCCACACUUGGACUGAGACACGGCCCAGACUCCGACGGGAGGCAGCAGUGGGGAAUAUCGGACAAUGGGGGGAACCCUGAUCCAGCCAUGCCGCGUGUGUGAAGAAGGCCUUAUGGUUGUAAAGCACUUUAAGCGAGGAGGAGGCUCUUUUGGUUAAUACCCAAGAUGAGUGGACGUUACUCGCAGAAUAAGCACCGGCUAACUCUGUGCCAGCCGCCGCAGUAA